rnacentral:lncRNA from 1 species
CUUUUCCUGUGCCACAGCAACCAAGAAGGUCACAUGUUCCAGAAGCUGCAGCUAUAAGGUGGGUGGGGGGACCUAAGUGGGCCUGGGCUCUUGAGUGACUAUGUGGAGCAGAGCUGCACUGACUCUUUCUUAUCCAUGGGUAGCACAAGCGAAAAAUAAACUUCUGUGGUGCAAAGUCACUGAGAUUCAGGAGUUGUUGCCAAAGCGGAGCCGAGCUCAGUGGUUCCCAGUCUGGUCCCAGGCACCACGUAAGAUGUUCCUUUGCUCUUCCUUCAUCUUCCACCAUGAUUGUGAGGCCUCCCCAGCCAUGCUGAACUGGGGUAACCACCACAGGCCCACAGGCUAAAAUUGAGCUGGAGUAAGUGGCAACAGAGAGUAUUUAUUGUCCCCUAAGAGCCCUGGCCCUUGUAGGACAUGUGAAUGCCAGUGCUCAUGGAGAAAGGUGGAGGAAGAGAGCCAGAGUGCAGUUCACCUCUGGGAGAGCAGACCAGAGUGGCUUCCGUGGGCACAUGCUGGAUUGAAGUGAGAAGACGUGACUACUAAAGUUGAGGCCCCAAGUCUCAGCUUCUUCCCCCUCCAAAGCAUGAGUGGAGGAUUCACUUAAGGCCACUUUGGUGCACCAUGAAUCCAAUAUGAUGGUAUCCUCAUAAGGAGAGGAGAAGAGACACAAAAACAGACACACCCUGGCAGAUCACUGUGUGACUACGGAAACAAGAGACUGAAGCAAUGUGUCUACAAGCCAAGGAACACCAUGAAUUGCUGGCAAUAACCCAAAACUACAAAGAGUCAAGGAAGGAAUCUUCCCUAGCACCUUCAGAGAGAACAUGACCCUGCUGACAUCUUGAUUUUGGAUCUCUAGCUCCCAGAACAGUGAGAUAAUAUGUUCUUUUAAGCCACCAAUUUGUGGUACCCUAGGAAACAAAUGAAUUUAUCACUAAGUUCAUGCAUACUUCUUCUCCCUAUGCAUAGCACGCCCCCCACACACCCCACCCCCCCCACUGCCUUUUUUCAGAUUCAAACCAUUGAUCUCACCCAUUGCAUUUCUGGCAUCAGGUGUCAGCUGGCUCAUUUUCUUUGAGGCAAAGUUCAUAUCCACUGGAUUCACACCUCAGUUGCCACAUGGGCUGCUUCUCUGCUCAGAAAUGCCAGGAGUUUUUAAAUAGUUCAUAAAAGGGACCCCCUUUUGACCUGACCCUCCCAGGUAAGUAUGCUGUCUUUGAGGACCACAGAAAGGUUCAAGAAUCUGGGUUUUCAGUCUCCACAUAGCUCUGGGCAAGUCUCUUAACCUCCCUGAAUUCUUUCAAUGGCUUCAUCAAUUAAAAAAAAGGCAACUGCUUUAGUCUUUCCUGCCUCUGGAGAAUGUUGUUAGUGUGAAAAGACCUUCAAAAGUACAACAAAGAAUGCUGUGCACAUUUAUAGUCCUUUAUUAUUCAGACUUAGGAGGCUGGGAUGAAAUAAAUAUUUAUGGAACCCAGAAGGUGACAUGGAAUUUUAUGGAUAUUAUGACGUUGGAUCCUUAAAGCAACCUACCAAAUAAGUGAUUCCCAUUUUAAGUGAGGAGAAAAUUGACUUGAAGCAAAGAAACAUCACUUUCAUAAGAAACAGUGAAGAUUCUAAUUAAACCCAGAUUUCCUGACGUCCAAUUUAGAGAUUACUACAUUACACUGUGACCCUCUCAUUUGUUGAUUUAUUAUUUUUUAUGGCACACUUCCUUCCCAUCUUGAAAUAUUUCUCUGACCCUUCAGAAGAAGCCACAGACUCAAUAGAGUCUGGUCCCCUGUGUAAGGAGAGGUUUAAUUUUCAAGUACAAAUAUUAACAACAGGCCCAUAGAGGAAACAUUUUGGAGGAACAAUCGAUGUUGGCAGACAGGAGCCUAUCAGGAGGUAAAGGAUUUGUAAAAGUGAAGUUUAAGGCAAACCUUUGAAGGGGAGAUGAGAAAUGCUGCCUUCAGAAAGGAGGAAGGGUCAAAUUCAAGGUCCACAGUGGGCUAGAGAGUGUGUGAAUCUCCGCCUGAGCUCUGCAGCGGGGAGAGUUUGAAGAUGUAGAAUUCUGUCUGCAUAGCAUGCAUUAUGUCUUUAUGUGAUAUGUAUGCGUCAGAGAAGAGAAUUUCUUUUCUGUCACAGGCAUCGUCUAAAAAUGCACACACUUGAGAAAUCACCACUCUCUCUCCUUUCUCAUUUCUCCACUUUCUGCACAUCUUCCUACUUGCUGAGCCUUUCCUCUCAUUCCAGAGGGACAGAAGCACCAGCACCUUCUUUAGGAGCUGUUUAUCUGGCAUCCGCCUCUCUGCUGAGAGAGCAGACCCCUCUUCUUCCCUUCUUUAAGCCCCAAUUGUAUCUUCCAUCCUCCCACUCUGAGUGUGAUUAGAGUGAAGAAAAUCUCAUAAAAAGGAAACUCAAAUGUCAGGUAAUUACAGCCCAUAAUUUGUUUAUCUUUCAGAAGCCCAUAUUGGAGGAGCAUUACUCACUCUGAGGAUCCUGGCAUAGGCAGAUGCAUCACUUGUAUUGAAGUAUAUUAUCUGCUGUGAUAUUUAUGAUGAAAUGAGUUUGCCAGCCAUCGUCUAUCAGGUCACAAACUCUUACUCAGCCUUGAAAAAUGGCUUUUAAUACACUCUUGUUGCAAGAUUGGGGUGGAUGUACAAUUUGUGACUUUCCUACCUCUGCUGUUCCCGGGAACAGGGUGUACAGGGCUGUGUACAGGGUGAACGGGGCGGGGAGCUGUGUUCCUUUGCCUUAUUCACAACCUCCACCCUUGGUGCAGUGAGAACAUGAGUUCCUUAAGGACAGUCCAUGUCUUACUCAUUUUGUGUCCUCUUUGUACAGGGUCUGGCACAUGUUUGAUGUCAACAAAUGUAUGUUGAAACAAAAUGAAUUGAUUCACAUGUGAGGAGAUUUAGCUUCUGAGACCAAGACCCCAUAAAUUCCUGGAGGAAAAGUAAAAGACAUACUUAACAUCACCUGAGAUCACUUAUUAGCUCACUUAUUCAAUCAUGCAUUUGCACAUUCGUACAACAAAUGCUUAUCAAAAACUAUUGUGUGGAAGGCACAGUGCUAAUUGCUAAGUGGGCUAAAAAGAUAAAGUAAAAUAUGGCUUCUGGUCAGGUGUGAUGGCUUACACCUGUAAUCCCAGCACUUUUGGGAGGCUGAGGUGGGAGGAUCGCUUGAGCUCAUGGGUUUGACACCAGCCUGGGCAACAUGGCAAGACCUUGUCUCUACUAAAUUUUUUUUAAAUGAAAAAUUAACCAGCUGUGGUGGUGCACCUAUAGUCGCAGCUACUUGGGAGGCUGAGUUGGGAGGAUCCCUUGAAUCCAGGAGGUCAAGGCUGUAGUGAGCUAUGAUCAUGCCACUGCACUCCAUCCUGGAUAACAGAACAAGACCCUGUCUCAAACAAAAAACAAAACAAAAAAACAUAACUUGUACCUUAAAGGAGCAUAUGAUCUAGUACUAAGGGUAAGAGAGAAAUGAAUGGUACAGGGAAGAAAAUGAGGCCAUAAAAAUGCUUUGAAUGCUCUGAGGAUGAACAGAUUUCUUCUAGCUGGAGACAUGGGCAGGAGUGGAUAUUUGAAUAGAAUUACAAUGGAUGGUAUAUUAAUUGUUUUUUUGCAAAUAAAUUAAAGUGAGUCUAGCUUUUGUAACAAAAGGUGUUCACAGGCAGCAGACUCUACUAUCUCACAGAACCCAUGAAAAAACUCAACAAGUAAGUCUCAGGUAGGGGUGAGAAGCAAAGAUCUUCAGGGACCCUGUGGUGGAAUCUGUGGCCCUUCCCCAGAGAGUUCCCCUGUCAAUGUAAUUCAGUGCCAAACAUUCUUUGUUUCUCUGAUGAAACAUUCAGUUUCCAGGUGAUCUAAUGUGAUUAAUCAAGCAGAGUGUCAGGACUCCAGUCUGUAAACUCAUUAGCUAUGGCCAGGGGAACUGUCCCCAGAAACAUGGCUGCUAAGACCCCUCUUUGUGCAGUGGAAGCAGUUCCCAAGAACAAGGGCUGAGCAGCCUCUCUGGCUGGGGGCACCUACAUGUGGGUAAGAUUUGGAGGUGUGUGGACAUGAUCACGAAGGACAUUGCAGAUGUGGGGAAGCGCAGGGCUGAAAGCCUCCCACCAGGACUCUCUGCCUGGCUCCAUCUGUUCUCCCCAGGCUCAGGCAUGGUCAUUUGUUCCCCCAGCUCUCUUCUUGAUGGGCUCAGGUAUGAGUUUGUGUGUGUGUUUGCACCUGGGAGCGUGUGUGUUUGCACCUGGGAGCAUGUAUGUGAAUGCAAGUGUGAGCACUUGUGUUUGGUUACUUUUGAGUGUAUGUGCAAGUCUGAGCACGUGUAUGAGUACAUCUGAGUAUGUGCGUGUGCCAGUGUGUGUGUGUGUAUGUCCAGUGUGAGUGUAAUAUGUGCAGUGUGAGUGUGUGUGUGUGAUUAUGUCCUGUGUGUGUGUGAGAGUGUGAUUAUGUCCUCUGUGUGUGUGUGUGUGAGUGUGAUUAUGUCCUCUGUGUGUAUGUGUGAGUGUGAUUAUGUCCUCUGUGUGUGUGUAUUUGUGUGUUGAGUGUGAUUAUGUGUGUGCUGUUCUGGGUUCUACUUUGGGCUGGGUAGCAGGGUGGGGAGAGGAUGAUAAAACAGCACAAACUUUCUCACUGCCAGAAUGGGUUUCUUCUUAGCAUAGCUUUUAUGGACUACUAUGUAAAAAGAGUUUCUGGUUCUUCACCUGAGAAAAUUACUAAAAUUACUAAAUGCUCUCUGGUGUUAAUCUGCCUUCCAUAGGUACUGGCCCAGACAAUGGAGUAGAGCAGGGAAUAGAAAUAUCCAUUCUGCAACACAACAGUUUCUUCAUGUCCAAGCCUAGUAAUUUCUUUCCUGAAGGAGGAGUUCAUUUCAUCCUCUUGAACCUUGUCUGUUUGUUCCUUGCUAUGCUACUCCCCAGGAUGAACACAGCCACCGCCCCCUCUCUUCUAAACCACCUCUUUUCCACACAGAAUGAUUCUGGUUCUGUCCAUUUGUUGUGGGCUCCUUUCUCAGCUCCUAAAUGCACGGGCUGCUUGCUGGCAGGCUUUUUCUGUUCCUCUGCUUCAUCUUGCUCACUCCUGUAUGUGCCCACCAAAAUCCCAAGGAAUCAACAACAGCUUUAAAAAGUGGGCUUUGUUUCCUUCUCUCUGCAGGGGAUCAAACAUAGGCACCUGCCUGUCCAAGGGGGUCUAAGUCACAGUACAGAAGUGGUUUGCAAAGGCUGGUGGGAUGGUGUGGCAGGCCUGUGGAGUUGAAUAAAAAUCCUGAUGUCCUUCCUGGCAUGAAGAAUGGAGCUGCCAAGCUGCCCCCAGGAGAAGCGUGCUGCCUAUGCAUCUCACUGGACUUCUGUGUACAGAAGAAAUAUUGGUGGUUUGACCAAACGCUCGGGCUCCCCACGACUCCCGUUGUUAUAUGGGAAAGAACAAGGUCUGGCCCACCUCUCUAAACCUUUAUAAAGGAGCCAGCUGGUGCCUGCCACUUUGUUGCCCACUGGAGAAGACUGGCUGCAUGCAUGUCAUGCACCAUAUCCCAGCAGCAAAGGCCCUGAUUUUUUUUUUUUAUCAGCUGUAGUUCAUUUGUAAAUUAUUAACCUCUCAAGAGCCAAUAUUUGCUCAGGGCCUUCCAGUCCAUCUCAAGUGUCGAUACUGUGCUUGGGAGAUUGCGGGGGAGGAUGGUGCAGGGAGCUCGGUCUGACACGCUGUUGUUGGGGAGGAAAAUGCUCUUUGUCUAGCAAGAGAGGAGGAUCUGACUCAGCAGCAGUAGAACCUCAGGCCAGCCCUUUUCCCACCUGGGGCUGAGGAGACUCAGCCAUGUGAGAGUCCACAUAGAAGCAGGGGUCCUCAGUGCUCUCUAACCACAUUGAGAGUCUACUCUGCCCCAAACCACUCCACUAUGCCAGGCUGAGGCUUUUUAGGCCAAUAUAUAUCUAAGGAUAAAAUGAAGGGAGUUCUGGAUGAUGCAUUAAGAACACUCCUGAGACAUUAGAGCCUUGCUUUGGAUUUGAAGAGGGGAACUUUACUUGUCACCCUGGGUGAAGUCAAUUCCUCUGUGAAUCUCCCCAGUGAGACUGUGGGUACCUUAGGAGAAGAGACAGUGACUUAUUCAUCUCAGAAUCCUCAGACUAGAAUAAGGCCUGGGAUUUAUCAGGCAUUCAGUAAAUUCUUGCUGAAUGAGCAAUUAACUUGAGGUCUUCAGGGUUCCUGGGACCAAAGAGUUGGCCUUUAUAAAAGCACAUUCGUAAUUCAAUCUGUACAAGUAGUACAAUUCAGUAUGGUAUGUUACAAGUCAGUUAUUGAAUAUUACACAUUGCCACAAUGAUCUGUCAGUAAUAAAGACACAGUCCAGAAAAUAUUCUCUCUCGUAGGUCACAACAGUUGACCAGUUGACUCCAAUGAUCUCAUUAAAUAGCUUGAGGUUGAAAAUAACCUAGUGUUUCUCUUACCCAAUACACUAUUUGCUGAUUGAACAACAUAAAGUUUCCAAAAGUGGAAAGGGCAUUAUGAGGAAAGGUAUUAAAAUAAAGCUAUCAUCUUAACUUUUAAUAAAACUGUGUACAAUACUGAAGAUACUUUAUAGCAAGAUGAAAAAAUUAGAGUCCUUGGUGUUGUGCAGAUGAAUUCUAGUCCCAGCAUUAUUCCAUAAUAUGUACCUUGGGCAAAUUAACAACUCUGAGACUCAGUUUUCUCAUCUUUAAAAUGGGGAUACUCUAUCUACCUCUUAAAGUUAUUGUGAGGACUGAAUGAGUUAAUACUUGGAGAGGACUCAGAGCAGGGCAUAGUUAAGGACUCAGUAAGAGCUAACUUUACUAACAUCGCUACCAUCACAAAUAAUAAGUAAGAAAACGUACCUUGAGGAUCUUGCAUAGUACCUGGCAUAAAAUAGGCUCUUAAGAGAUGAAAGCCAAUUAGUACUAGUAAUUAGAGUUUAAAAUGAUAAGAUUUUAAGGCAUGUAGAAAACAAGAAUAUCUUGUGUUUCUGGCAACCAAAGUUAUUCUAUUCCAGGCCAUGGGGAUCUCCUAUUUCUCCAGAAAUAUGGAGGCUACAAGAGAGAACUAACAUUUAUUGGGCACUUACAUUGUACUAGUUACUGUGCUAGGGGCUUUAAAAACAGUUUUUCCAUUUAAGCAAAUAAUCCUAAUAUUUUAGAUAAUUUACCUGAAACCCACCGAGAUGACGUAUUUCUCCAAUGGUUACAUUAGCUAAUACUGGUAGGACUAAGAUUUCAACCCAGAUAUGUUUGGACUCUAUAGCCUGUAUGCUUUCCACUUUUCAGAAACUUAUAAACAAAACAGAGCAAAAACUUUCUGGAACUCUCUGGAGCCCUUGGCUGUUCUCUGGACCUUCCUUUGCUGUGUCUUGGGGCAGGCACAUCUUGGCUUAGGCUGAGCUUUUCUAUUUGCCAAAAGAGUCAUCUCAGAGGGCACAGCCUGGAGUGCAGCUCAACAAACAUAUGUGUAACAGCCGAGUGCCACCACGUUAAGAACUGGACUUACAAGAUGGAUAGGACCUGGUGGCAGCUGUCCUUGAGGAAGCCAGAGCCUGGAGAGACAGAUCUCAUGUUAUAGCAGAGUACCAAUAUUCUGCAGAAAACCAAAACCUCACCUGCAUUCCUACUCCUAUCAUGAUGUUCUGCCCCCCGGGACCCUUGUUUAUGCUGGUCUCUCCUUUUGAAAGAACGUUACCCUUUUCUUCACCCAGCAAAUUCUUACUCAGACUUCAAGACUCAGUUCAGAGUCUGGGGAUGAAUAUUCUACAAAUGGCCCCCAGGAUUGUCAUGGUCCUCACGGCAGGUGAUUUGCUCUUGAACAAUUAACAGAGUGAAGGCUGUGUUCCAUCUCCUCACAGUCUCCCGCUGGGCAUCCUUGGGAGCACAGGAGGAGAAAGGCUUUCUUCUUGAUCCUAUUACUGCUGCCCAGCAUCAAGAAGGAUUAAUUAACCCACCAGGUUUUGCUUCAUUACGAGGAAAAAAGAAAAGCCAGUGACAGUGGAAUUCAAACAUUGAACAGGCAAAGGAAUCAGUGCUCAAGCACCUUAUGAACAUUUCGAAGACUUAGCUGGGCGGUGUGGCGCAAUGUAAAGUAGGGUGACUUGGUGCAAGUUACACACCCCUGCAGCCCUGUUUCUUCAUCCUCAGAGUUCACACUUCAAUUCUACAAAUUGAUGGCCUAUUCUGAGCUAAGCCCCGCCCACUCUGAACUAAGCCCCGCCUACUUUGAUUCCCUACUCUGAGCUAAGGAACAGUCUUUCAUCCCCAUGAAAGCUUUCUGUCUAGAAGGAACUAAAGAGCAUAAUUAUACUUAUUUUCCAGUGCUGUUGUUAGAAUUAAUUAAAUGUGGUAUAGCAUGUGAAAGUACUCUGUAACUAAACAUUGUAUAAAUGUUAAUUAUUCUCAUUUUCAUAUUUGAUAUUCAGGCAUUCAAACAAUUAUUGAGCACUUAUUAGGGCAAAGAACUAUACUUGCAGCUAACAGUUACGUGAAAGAAUUCGAAGACAUUGUUUUUGCUGUUUAGGAAGGUCCCACAUGGCAAAGCAAUUAAGACACACACAUGAAAUAAUUAAACAACAAAGUUGGGCCUAAAGAAGUUUCAUCUCACGUGCUAAUCAUGGCUGGCUGGCUAUGGCUAUCUAGAGUAUUAUGCUGAAAAUGAUUCUGAAGCUCUUUCUGGGCUCAAUUGAAAAGGAUGAUCUGGUGGAUUAGCAAUGAAUGCCAUGGGCAUAAGUUGGGCAUGUAGUGGUACGUGGACUAGUUGUUUAUAGUGCCUAAUACAAGGUAGCAAACAUAAUGAUAAAAGUAACUGUUAUUGAAAUUCAGCCAAGAUUGGUAUCAGUGUAGGCUUGUAUGACUGACAAAGAAUGUAGAGGAGCUAAAGAGUAAGCUUGACCUUGAAUUACGAGUAGGACUUCAGUGAAGAUAGGAGGCUAUUUCAGAAUGCAGGGCAUCUGGUAGGGAGUAGUGGAUGGUGGAGAGUAAGGAACUCAGUACUUGAUUCAAAGCCUGGGUCUCCCAGAAGUGAGCUGUGUGGCUUGGGCCACUUUAUCUCCUGAGGUCUCAGAGUUUUCAUGUAUAAAAUUGUAGAACUUGUCUUGAUGGUUUUGAACAUUCUUUCUAAUUCUGCACAACAGUCCAUUUGUGGGUUAGAUGAGCCUUUACCAAACUGUAUUUCAUGGAACAAUGGUCCCAAGAGCUGUUCUGUGAAAAGUAAGUUUCAUCAUCAAAUAAUUUUGAGAAAUUCUGAAUCCUAUAUACGUGUUGAUUCCUAUUUCUUUCCUUCCAUUCUUUCUUGAGUCCACUCUGAUUGGUCCUUAAAGUUGGAGUUUAUUUUUAUCAUUAUUGUUAUUGUCAUGGUAGUAAAGAUGGACAAAGGCAGAUUCCACAAACAUCUCAAAAUAAAAGUCAAUAGGACUUGGUGAUUAAUUGCAUAUAGGCAAUGCAGGAGAGGGUCUAAGCAAAGAUGUCAAGUAUUUCAAACUAGAAAAUGAAUAGAAUAAGCCAGGGAAUUAUUGAUGGACAAAAGAAGUUGAACCAGGUUGGUGGACAUGGAGCAGGGGUGCGGAGGGAGAAUACCAUCCUGCAGGCUAGGUACCUCAUGGGUACAGGAAGAGAUGCAUCUAGGUUACUCACAGCUAUGGAAGAUUAUUGCAAAGGUGUAAGAAAAGGUGAAGGAGAUCAUCUCAGCAGCAGCAGCAACAGCACAACGUUGGGGUCUAUAGAGACCACCUUAGUUUGCCUAAGACUAAGAAAUUUCUCAGGACACGAGCCUUUCAGUUCAAAAACUAGGUAAGUUCUGUACCAAAAAAGUUAGUUGUAUUAUUAGGGGAUCAAUUUUCCUUAUUCUAGAAUGGACAGCUGGAUUCAUAAUCAAAGGACAAUGUGUUGUUGCCAGCAAUUUCUGUUGAGCAUUUUAUGAACAGAGUUUAGAUUAGCCCCUUAACAGAUGGCUGGUGUCUCCUGUGCCUAGCACAUGUAGAAGCAUCUUUAGCCCGUCCAACCCUCUCUGGUCUUCCUGGCUAUGGCUGGGUAACAUUUGGAUCCACCUCUUAAUGGAGUAUGCCAUAUGCAGUGGGAAAAACAGAGAGGACUGCUUUCAUACCAUAUUCGUGUGAUAGAAUGAAUAAUUCUUUCAUGGGUUCCUCCCCGAGUCCAUCCAGUUCAGAGGAAAGAUGAUUAGGACUUUCCUCCAGCUGACUUUAAGGGAGGGUGGGAUGUUUAGGUAGAGGAGUAUUUACAAAAUCAGGGGAAAGAGUUGCAUUUGGGCUUAAAAAAUUCCUGAAUAUUCUUUUUUAAAAGAAAUGCCUGGUCAAAUACCGUAGGGAAUUACUGAGGAAGAACUUGAAAGAGGGAUGGAGAAGGAAGAGGAAAGAUAGAAAAGAAAAGAGACAGUAGGAGAGAAAAAGAGAGGAGAGAGAGAGAGAGAGAGAGAGAGAGGUUUGUCACAACCAGGUUUUCCCACCCCUACCUAGGGCAUUAGAACCUUCCACUAUUGCAGCUAAGAGAAUAGAGCAUGUGAACAGCUUGUACAUUUACUUAAACACCAAUGGUUUCAGCUUCUCAUACUGCACUCUACUCAAAGGUACAGUAGAUUCAGGGACCUGUCACUUAAGACAACUCUUUACCUUCCAACCAACCAAAGUGCAUUUUACAAUGUCAAUGCCAUUUCACAGAGAGGGGCAUUCAUCAGGGGUGUCUGAAGUCCAGGCCAGCCUGAGAAGGAGGUGCCAAGGCUUGGGAGUUGAGGGACCCAGGUCCUAGCUUUCUCUCCACUGGGCUCCAUUGUGUGAUCAUGGGCAACUGGCUAAACAUCUCUGGACUUUGUUCUUCCAACCUUUAAAAGGAAGCAAGGACCCACUCUUUUUGUUGAAAGAAGCUGGAGAGAGUAACUGCUGAGCCCAGGGAGAGGAGGGCAGAUGCAGGGCCAUUGUAGCCUGCUCUCACGAAUAUAAACACUCUAGAGUUUGGUCAACCCCAAAGGCCCUUUCUUCCUUAUUGGUUACUCAGGAUUUCCAAUCACCUGGGGCUCUCAAAAGUCAACAGGGGCCACUCAGCUAACCUCAGGGGUUUGAUAUAACCGGCAGGUGAAAGAGGCCAAAAAGACCUCCCCAGACUUCAGCGAGUUGUCAGCCCUUAAGCCCUUGAGCCUGCAGCAGGGGAUGAAAUAUCCUUUGGUUUUCAAAUCCCAUUGACCCAGGGCUUAUCCACGAAGGCAGGCUGGAACCUGGAGCAUAGGGCGAAGGCAGAUGUGGCAGGUUGGCUCUAGGCAGAAUCACUUGGUAGACCCGUCCUCGGCACCUGAUUCUACAUCUGGAAAAGUGAGUGAUAACUGUUGGAGUAAUAGUCCUCAGGAGUGCCUGUUAAAAGGGAUCAAAGCUUUGUGCUAAAGGGGAUCCUAGGAAGUAUAAGAGAAAUAGCUGAGAGCAGCCAAAAGGUACAGGAUGUGGAAUAGGGGCACGGAGGCAGCGCUGGUAACCAGCCCUGCACACACUCAUUAAGGCCCAACCAUGAGCUGUGACCAGAGAGUUGGGAUAUGCAUUUGGAAGUUGAAGUCCAAGUUUACAUCUUUCAUUGUGAGUCCUCAGUGGACCCAUCUACCUGUUGAUGGUGAACAGGUCCAAGACUGUAAUGAGGUGUAAGUACCAUUAGGUGGCGAUACAUGAAUGCCUUUCCCAUCUGGUUCCAAAAGAAGAGCACUAUGGGUUUGUCUCCCAGCUCAGGCUUAUAAGCAGCACAUCCAUGUUCCCUGCAUCUGUAGAUCAGCUUUAGCACCCACAGUGCCAGCUGCAAGUGGGGGUAGUGUGUGUGCGUUUUGAGCGCGUGCAUGCACAUAUGCCAAUUGUUGUGUAUUUUCACCUCAAUGUCGGUGACCAGCAAAUGAGGCAUCAGUGACACCCUGGCAGCAACUGACUACUUGGGCCACACUCUGAAAAUGGAUUGCCUCUGUUUUCUCUGCUUGAUCUUCACUGGGGGAAAAGAGUUAAAUUCGAUUUCCAGGAGCUCUCCAUGAGAGCCAACUUCAGCACAAGUUCCCAUUUCCAGAGAGGCUGCCGAGUCUCUCAUUUGUAAAGGCCUCCUCCCUUUGCCCUGAGCGGACUAGCCUUCCCCUACUUCUGCCUCUUUGCCUCUGUGUCACAGUUUUGUGGUCGAUGACACCCUCUCCUUAUCCUGCACCUCCUCCUGGUCUUGCCGACAUGGCUCAAUACUUUGUGCCUAAAUACAGGACUUGUACCAGUCUCCUAUGUCCCCGUGGAGGGCCCAGUGACAAAGGAAAAAAACCAGCCUUUCUCUGCUCAUCUGGGUGCAUAGGGCUCACCCUGAGGGAAGCUGGAAGUGGCAGCAAAUUUUUGUUUAUAAAUAAAAACAAAGACAACUUGUCGUUCCAAAGGAAAAUGCCCCCUGGUGAAAGAAACACUUAAAACCACUGAAGAAUUAGUUUCGUUUUGUCCUUGGUGGCCACCCUGUCAGCAGGUUUCCUUGAUCUUAUGUUGGUGACAGAGUCUCAAACUGAAUGCCAAGGGAAGGAUUCCACACAUAUUCCUUGGAUUUGUAGCUGAGGUACAGCCCUGGGCCUGGGGACAUGGAGAAGACCCAGCCUGCAAAACUCAAUCAUGGCUCUGCAGAUUUUACCCAGUUUGGAGAUCUACUAGCUACCACACUCGACACACACACACACACACACACACACACACACACACACUAUGAUGGAUGUCAUUCUUGUCUGCAACAUGCUCUAGUGACUGGGCCCAAGUCAGGCACAGCUUCUUGUGUGAACUGAAACACCAUUCUUUUCUUCCCUGUGUGAAAAAACAGAAUACAAGGGUGAGUGAUCUUAUGAAAACACUACUGAAUCUGUUCCAUUUUACAUAUUCACAAAAUUGAGGCCACUUAAUGUAAUAGAUAAAAGUAAUACAGAGACAACUACAAUAGGAAACAAAAGGUGAGAAAUGACAGAAGAAACAACACUCAGUGAAUACUGGGACUCAAGAGCAGGAGCAAUGGCAGCCACUUUGGAGUAGGAAGGUGAGCACUAGGAAGGGCCCCCCACCCCCUGCAAUAAGCUUUGAUGGACGGAUGGAAUUUUUUUCAAGGUAUUCUUUUUUAAAAAACAUCUUUAUUGAGAUAUACUUCAAAUACUAUAAAAUUCACUCAUUUAAAGCAUACAAUGCAGUGGUUUUUAGUAUAUUCACAGAGGUACACAACCAUUGUCACAAUCUAAGUUUAGAACAUUUUUGUCGCCUCUAACAGAAACAUGCAGUCAUGAGCAGUCAGCCCCAUUCACCCCUCACUCCCCAGCCCUAGGCAACCACUAGUCUACUUUCUGUCUCUAUAGAUGUGCCUAUUCUAGGUAUUUUAUAUUAAUGGAAUUAUAGUUUUUUGUGGCUGUCUUCUUCAACUUAGCAUAAUGUUUUCAAGGUUUGUCCAUGUUGUAAAAGGUGUCGGUACUUCAUUUCUUUUCAUGGCCGAAAAAUAUUCCAUUGUAUAGAUAUUCCCCAUGUUUGUUUAUUCAUUCAUCUAUUAAUGAACAUUUGGGUUGUUUCCACUUUUUGCCUAUUAUGAGAAAUGGUGCAGUUCUUUCAUCUGCAUGUUUUUAUGUGGACAUGUUUUCAUUUCUCUUGGGUGUAUACCUAGGAGUGGAAUUGCUAGGUCAUAUAUUAUCCCUAUGUCUAACUUUUUGAGGAAUUGCCAAACUGUUUUUCAAAGUGGCUGCACCUUACCGCAUUCCCACCAGCAAUAAAUAAGGGUUUCAAUUUAUCAGUGUCCUUGUUAUAGUCUGUCUUUUUGAUGAUAGACAUCCUGGAGGGUGUGAAGUGGUAUCUCGUUGUGGUUUUGAUUUGCAUUUCCCUGAUGACUAAUGAUGUUGAGCAUCUUUUCAUGUGCUUAUUAGCUAUUUGUAUUUUUUUUUUUUGGUGUUGGGGGACAUAUGUCUAUUCAAAUCCUGGGCCCAGGUCAGGCACAGAUGCUUUUUAAUUCGGUUGUCUUUUUAUUUUUGAGUGGAUGGCUGAGUUUUUGAGAGGUGUAGGAGUGUAGGAGCAAAAGCUUAGAUGUGGAAAAGGUAGGCACUUGUAAGGAGUAAGAAGUAAAACAGAUUGGCUUCAGAGUGUAGCAUUUUCAUGAGAGAUGUGACUCUGCAUUUAACAGAAAAGGC